GCUUCCCCAGUGGCGCACGGGUGAGUAACGCGUAACUGACCUACCCCAAAGACCGGAAUAACCUCCCGAAAGGGAAGCUAAUACUGGAUGUGCAGUCAGAUCAUGUUCUGCCUGUAAAGAUUUAUUGCUUUGGGAUGGGGUUGCGUUCCAUCAGCUGGUUGGUGGGGUAAAGGCCUACCAAGGCGACGACGGAUAGCCGGCCUGAGAGGGUGGCCGGCCACAGGGGCACUGAGACACGGGUCCCACUCCUACGGGAGGCAGCAGUUAGGAAUCUUCCACAAUGGGCGCAAGCCUGAUGGAGCGACGCCGCGUGAGGGAUGAAGGUUUUCGGAUCGUAAACCUCUGAAUCAGGGACGAAAGACACUUUAUGUGGGAUGACGG
rnacentral:rRNA from 1 species